rnacentral:misc_RNA from 1 species
UACGUACUGUGCGAACGUUAUUCGGAAUCACUGGGCUUAAAGGGUGCGUAGGCGGUCGCUUAAGUAGGGUGUGAAAUCCCCCGGCUCAACCGGGGAACUGCGCUCUAAACUGGGCGGCUUGAGUAAGAUAGGGGUGUGCGGAACUUCCGGUGGAGCGGUGAAAUGUGUUGAUAUCGGAAGGAACACCAGUAGCGAAAGCGGCACACUGGGUCUUAACUGACGCUGAGGCACGAAAGCUAGGGUAGCGAACGGG